CUGUUUGUCCUUGGUCUGGCGUGGAGACUCUCUGUUUUGGCUUUACAUCCGGUGCUGGCUCAUCUUUGUUAUCAGUUUGCCUGGAUUCGGAGUCACCUGGGAGAUGCACCUCCGGGCCGGCUAUGCAGACAUUUCCAGAGAGGGCUGUCUGCAGAUGGCAUGUAUCUGCGGGCUUGUAAGCAUUCUCUGAGUGCUCAGCGAUGUUUAUCUGCUUCUCUGUUUACCUCUCCCCCAGGAGCGACUCACUGUGAACAGAACACACUGAUGUUUAAAUGGCGGGAACAGAGCUGGCAAGAUGGCUCAGCAAGAGAAAGCACUUGACAGAAGUCAGCAAGUUGAGCGGAAUUCAUUACGGUAAAUCCUGAUCCAACGCGAGGCAUGUCCUAACGGAGCAUUUGGACGUAGAGCCAGUGACGUAAAGUCUCAAAGAGAGAAGGACAGCAAUGUGCUGGAGCAGUGGUUCCACAGGUUGUGAACCCCGGCACUGGAGCGAUGCACCCACAAGCUAAGGUACGCGGAGGAUGGCCACAAACACCAGAGGCUGAGAAGCAAGGGAUGAUUCUCUUCUAGAGCUGUCAGAGAGAGCCCAGCCCGCCGACACCUCCAGAAAUGGGCACCGACACAUUUUUGUUGUUCCAGAGCACCAGCUGCUCGUGCUUUGUUCCAACAGCCCUAGAAAGCAGGCACCAUUUUGGGAAGCCCGAAUAAAUAAACAUUUUGCCGGCUCUCUAGCUCUCAAGGGUUCUCUGUGCAGCCAUCAGGAUGGUCAUAUGAUACAGGAAGGAGAGGCAGGCAGAGAGAGCCCUCGGGCUGGAUGCCAGCAGGAUGACUAGGCCAGAAUUCCCAGUCACCGCUUGGCAUUCAAACAUAAUAGUUAAAACUUAAGGGUGAGAGGCUGUGGAGAAGUCUCAGUCAAUAAAGUGCUGGCCUUGCAGAACCAGGACCCAAAUAAGAACCCCAGAACCCUGUAGUCGGAAGUUUCUUGGUCCCCCCACCACAGCUGCUUACAAAAUAAUCACUCAGAGGCUUAUAUUAAUUACAAUUUGUAUGGCCUAUGGCUUCAGUUUGUUGC